GUGGAAUUCCACGUGUAGCAGUGAAAUGCGUAGAGAUGUGGAGGAACACCAAUGGCGAAGGCAGCCCCCUGGGUCGAUACUGACGCUCAUGCACGAAAGCGUGGGUAGCAAACAGGAUUAGAUACCCUGGUAGUCCACGCCCUAAACGAUGUCAACUAGGUGUUGGGAGGGUAAAACCUUUUAGUACCGGAGCUAACGCGGAAGUUGACCGCC
rnacentral:rRNA from 1 species